AGAGUUUGAUCCUGGCUCAGGACGAACGCUGGCGGUGUGCUUCACACAUGCAAGUCGAACGAGGUAGCAAUACCUAGUGGCGGACGGGUGAGUAACACGUAGGAAUCUGCCUUCGAGUAGGGGAUAGCAAGCCGAAAGGCUUAUUAAUACCGUAUAUGUUUAUGUUCGGACACGUUCAUAAAUGAAAGGAGUAAUCCGCU
rnacentral:rRNA from 1 species